rnacentral:lncRNA from 1 species
UUUAAUCUCCGAUUUUUGUUGUUUCGUUUAAGUUGCGGGUGGUUGGUUGUUUGUGUGGGGCUAUCACCUUCCCCUCAGUCCUCAGAUAUUCUCGGCAGUUGUUCUUCCUUUUUGCGCGCAAUUCGUUAGAUAUUCUUUGUCUCUCGAUUCCUCUAUUGCAAGUCGCGCGGUAGAGGAACAUACUACAUAUAUCAGCCGACUGGGGGCUGGUAUACUUUGGCUGAGGCACUCGACUCUCAAUCAUUUAUCUAGACAUGAAGGAAAACAGCCUCCCAUUAGCCUCUACAGGCUCCACUGCGACUCAGAAGAGCAGGGAUGCAGGCGCCUCCAUAUUUCUUUUCGGCUGGUNAAAAAAAAAAAGAAUAUUAGCUUAUGUUAGCGAAAUUGCUUGGUGUCGGCUGGGCUAGCGAAAUUCAUCUUCUUGUUAGAAAAUAUAAGAUUUGUGUUAUAUUUGGUUUAGAUUUGUAGUUAUUUAAAUUAGAGUUAAAUCCUAAUCUAAUUGGGAUUAAAUAUAAUUUGGCAUAUAUAAAUUAUGAGUCGAAAUCUAAUUUCAAAUUGAAUUAGAUUAGACUUGUGUUUAAAAAUCUAAUUAGAUUAGAGUUUUAAUUAGACUUUAAUUCAAAACCAUGCCCUAUAUAUACGUGGCCAAAUUAAUGAAGCCGGAGAGCUAAUGAAGUGGCCAUGCACUAAUUAAUUAAGCCUCUUGGAGGGUACAGAUGCUGCGGAGAGAACCGAGUUUCGUGCUUAACUAGUGUAGGAACCAGCGCGAUGCGGCGGAUAUAAUCAUAUUUGAUUAAAUUUAAUAAUAUAAAAAAUACUUUAAAACUUUUAGAAUAAAAUUAUAAUUUAAUAAAAAAUAACGAAAGAUAAAAAAAAUUAUAGGAGAAAAAAAUAUGUUACAUAGAAAUCAAACCCCUUUGUAUCCUCAUUUAGGGCAUUCUCUACUAACACCGAUGCUUUCGUGAAAUAUCAUAAUGCCUUCAACCAUUUUUCGGCAAGUCCUAUACAUUACAAAUAUAAGUGGUCGACAUCGAGAGAGAAAGGUUCGAGGCUAGGGUUAGAGUUCGACUCACUCAACGUUGACGGUGAGAGCGAGGACGGUGUGCUUGCGGGCUUGAGGGGAGCGGACGUAAUAGGCGAGGUCGUUGUCGAGAACGUCAUUUGCCGUACCCACAGGCUUCUCGGGUAAUGAUUCUUAAAAAAUAGAAACUAAUGAAAGGGAAGUCGAAGUAGUGACAUUAUAAAAAAGGAAUUAUGAGAUGGGAAGUCGAAGAGACAUACGUUAUGAAAAAAAAUUAAUAAGACGAGAAGCCGAAGAGGUAGACGUUACAGGAAAGAAAAGCCGAAGAGACCGCUUAGCCAUUUGGUUUAAAAGAGGGGCAAGUGAGGGUAAAAGAUAGACUGCCACAUGGUAAGAUUAGGGAAAAUAAUGUUAAGGUAUAGAUUUGGUGCUUCGGUAGCAGCAACACCAUGAGCCAAGAGAGAGUUGGGACUCUAAUUAAUUAAGUGAGCAUCUGAGGAGCCGUAUGCACUAAUUAAGAUCAAGUUGUGGUCGGUACGGGUGGUGAGAAAGAAGCUAAUUCUGGAGUCUCUUAAUUAUACGGCGCAUCUUUCAUCAUUUUGGAUCUAAUUAAUCGGAUCUAAUUAAAUUUUGGUCCUUGAGAGAUUCAAUUUUUGUACUCCGUCUUUCGACAUUAAUAAAUUAUUUGUUCCGUCUUCGUCCGUGGACGUAGGUCGUUGGUCGAACCACGUAAAUAUCGGUGUGUUUUUUUCUUCUUUUUUUUUUUUCGUAUUAAAUUAUUUUUUGAAUUUAUUUUUCGCCGUUCUAAUUUUAAUAAUUUGUUCUUUUCAAACCGGUGAAAUUUGCACCGUUUAAUAUCGGUUCAGAGCUAGAGGAGAAUAUGACAUUGAGGUCGUCCACCAUGAAAACUAGCAGAAGCCAGCCUACAAAGUCUACACCGUUUCUUAUAUAGUUAGAACAUUUAUACACCCUCACCGUCGCGAAGUUGCUACGAAUCUUCAUUUUCCUCUGACUUUUUUUUUUUAGGAAAACAUUUUCCUCUGACCUGUAAAUGUCUUUCGUGAAGCCAGAGAAAUCCUGCAAUUUUUUGUUUUUUCCCCAUCUUUCGAUAAAGACUCUUUAAAAAGCUUAUACAGAGGCCCCUCAAUAUAUACAACUAUCUCUUCAUCUAAGCCUGUUGAAUGAUUAAACAUAUGCCUAAUUUUGCGCGUUCGUGCGUGCACAAUCAAACAAGGUGAUUUUCUCAGCCCUUGUCUUCUUUUUUGGGCAAUCCCCAUGGUUUCAUGAAAUGCUUAUUUACGCAUAAGCAUUAUCGUCGAGCAGCAAUCGCUGGUGAUUACAAUUCCAUCUGCCUUCUCUUUGUACAUAAAUUUAAUCUCCGAUUUUUGUUGUUUAGUUUAAGUUGCGGGUGGUUGGUUGUUUGUGUGGGGCUAUCACCUUCCCCUCAGUCCUCAGAUAUUCUCGGCAGUUGUUCUUCCUUUUUGCGCGCAAUUCGUUAGAUAUUCUUUGUCUCUCGAUUCCUCUAUUGCAAGUCGGUAGCGGAACAUACUACAUAUAUCAGCCGACUGGGGGCUGG